UUGGCUAGGAAUCAGGCUCAGAGAGGGACAGCCACUGGACUAAGGCCACACAGCAAAUCAGGGACCCAGCUGGGGAAGUACUGAGCCACCCCCAGGUCUGCUCUGCCUCUAAGUGCUUCUUGUCCUCCGCCGCCAGCCUGUCCCCCUCCGUCCUGGACAGCGUGCUUUUCCGCUUGCUCUUAUGCUGCAGAGCCUAUGGACCCGGCCUCCCAGCCUCUGCUCCAUCAAGCCCACGUCCUGAGGACACACCACCUGCCUCCCAGCCAUCUUCCUGGACGCAACUCCUGCCGCCCCAUGAAUUCUACAGGACCGCAUCCUCCAGGGCAUCAAAGUCCGCUGCCCCCACAUCAGCCCCGUGGCCUCCUGUAUCUCCUCACCCCUCCCCACCCGGCGCCAUGGCCACGCCCUGGACUUUGUCAUCACAGGUGUCCAUUCUCUGACCAUGUCUCCAGCCUCCUGGCCUCCCAGCACCCACUGCAUCCCUAAUCCUCGCCUCCUCCUUGCCCCUGGACCUCGGGUCCUGCCGUCUCUCCUGCUCCUUCCAUAUGCCCCACCUCUAGGCACCACUGGAUGAUUCCACCUGUGUUGUUUACCUAUAUCUGCACGUGGGUGUGGUCUGGAGAAAGUUCCACCAGCUCUCAGCCUGAAGCCUCUGCAAACGCAUGCACUCCAUACCCCCAGCUCUCCGCCCUCCCAGCAAGGCUUCUAGGAUAGGAAUCUGUCACCACUUCACUCGCCCAUCCAUCCACCCACAUUUACUGAGCACCUACUAAGUGUCUGACACAAGCCUCUGCAUGAGGGAUACAUGGUGAGCAGUCGCCUGGGGGACAAACAAUUAAACCACAGAAAAGCAGGAGAAAAGUAGUCUAAACUCUUCUCCAAAAUGGUUGGGCCAGUUUACAGUCCCACUAAGUGCACAACAGUCCCCUUUCUUCUACCCCCAGGCCAGCACUUGUUACCUCUUGUCUACUGGAUGACGGCCAUUCUGACAGGUGUGAGGUC